GGUAGGGACACCUUUCACUGAACCAUGUUGUCAGAGCUCCAUCCAGCCUGGGCUUUACACUUUGUCUUAUUAAAUCUCCUGAGAUUCUCCUGUGACACUUCUGAGCUGGUCCAGGUCCCUCUAGGUGAUAUUCCAUAAUGGGAUGCUCUUGUUGAGCUCUUGUCUGGAGAAACACAGCUGCUGUGGAGGGCUCUCAGCACCAGCUGGGACUCAUCCAUCUGCUCCUAGGCAUCUGCAGGGCAGGUUUAGCAGCUGAACAGGAAACCUGAAGAUGUCUGGGCAGACAGAUGGAGGCAGAAGAGGUUGGGUCAUCUUUGUCUGGCUGCUGAGGGAAGAUGAUCUAUGUGGAUGCCACAGGAGGAGAAAGUGGGCAUGACAACAGAACAGCAAAAACUCCUCACAGAGACAGCACUGGUACGGACUUCACCAUGGACUGGACCCCAUUUCUGCAUGCCCCUGGACUCCAUUUCUGCAGUCCCACCUCGUGGUGCAGUUGCAGACCUGCUUCUCUGUUAGGACUUACACUGUAAGAUCUGGUGGGAUUUGUCCACAGAGAUUUGGCUUUUUUGCAGCAAAGAGAUGCAGAGGUUUUCGGGCCCCUGGGGAAGCUCAGUGGCAGCAGUGAGUGUCAAUGAACAGGGAACCACAGUCUCUUGCAAAGCUGUUAAUCUUGCUGGAUGUAUCUGUAUUUAGAAUUAGAACUAUGUUUGUGUAUCUACUCAUUUGCAUGUUAAUGGGACUCUCUAGGGCUUUUCCUUGAUCUUUAACAAGAAGAAAGCCUGGCUAAUUGAAAUUUAUUUGAAAAGGGUUUGUUUGCUACUUGGGCUGAGGACAAUAGACUACAACAGCUGAGGAAGGCUGCAAUGGUCAUGUUAGCAGAGUUAGAUUUUAAUGCCUGAGCAUUCCUACGCUGUCAGGAUAAGCUGAUAGAGGCGGUGAAGGGUGCACACUGAUCCUUUUCCUGCUAACCACCCUAAAUUGGUUUGGGUCCAGCCUCUUGUAGUGGCUGGCUUCCCAGCUGCUGAGCUGGGAGUUCUCGUUUAGAGGAACAAAGGACCUGCAUGUAAACCUUUUCAUGUCCUGCUGUACACUUCUAACUGUUGAAUCUGGCUCCAGAAUGUAGCAGUGACAGAGAACAAAGAUGUGUCCCAGUCACCACCACUAAGCCCUGACCAUCUGGACUAUCCUUAAACACCACACAUCAGACCCUUUAUUGUAUGACUUUGUUUAUUCCAGCAGCUUUGGUUUUCCAAACCCCUUAUUCCACUGUCAGUGGAGCAAGACUCUUCUGCCUCAGGUCUUAGGGGGUCUUGCAAGCAGCUCCUUGCUUUGUGUGUGCUGCUGAGGUGUGGCAGUUGCUGUAGCAGAUCGAGGUACUCUGGGAAUUACCUCCAGGCUGGGAACAUUGUGAUGGAUCAAUCCAUCAGCUGACCCUUGGCCAACACCAUUAGCCACACUAGAGCUGGAGGUCAGGAUUUCAGCAUGGAAAUAACUUUUUGGGUGAAUAAUGAUGAUUAUUUGCUAGGGGGGGAAGGGUUGUAUAUUUUUACUGCUCAUCCUCUGUGGGCUGUGUUUCCAGCUGAUUGCAUGAGAGCUGUCCUGGUGUGCAUCUUCUGGGGUGCUUUGGUUUUAACCCAAAUGCUGGAGUUUCUUUCUGUCUAGUUAGUCACCACAAAACACUGCAGGGGAUGAUUAACACUUCUCUAAUCUCUGUGUUUUAGAACAUGUCUAUGAUUUGGUGGUCUCAGUCCAUUUCUUUCCGAAUAUUUAAUUGCUGGGCCUUAAGUUGAGGUUUUUGAUUAUGAAGGGUUCAUUAGAAGGCAGACAGCACAUUUCCUAGUACACAGGGUGUAAUCACAGCUGAAGCACAGCUGUCAAAAUAAAAUGAACACAAAGUGAAGCUAUUGCUUUAGCUGUGCUUAUAGACUCAUUAACUCUGAAAACUUCACACUCCAGAGUGGUUCUUCCUGCUCAUGUGGAAUAAGGAUGGGCUGCCAUGCUGCUGUGACCAAAGUCCAACAGCAUUUUGUCUUGCUUUUCUGAGGCAGAGAUGAUGGAUGUUUUGAAAGAAAGUACCGAGUUACCUGUGACCUCACAAGGCAGGGAAAUACAAAUGUAACAGAGAGGACAAGACUGCCAAAGGAGACCAGAGUUUGGAGGGAUGACUGGAUGCCAGGUGGCCUAGAGGUGUAGAGGUGUCCUGGUGACAGUGUUCUGUGGGGCACAGGAGGAGUGGAUGAGGUCUGUUCUCAAGGUAGCCAUUGUCUUCAGAUCUGAUAAACCACGUAGCAGCCAAGUGCAAGCACAGUGUGAAACCACAGCUGUUUGUGCCAUCCAAGCACCUUCCCUGAGGAAUAAUUCAGCAUCUUCUUGUUUUUGAAGACUCUGAGCGUUCUGGCUAGGAUUGAAUGAUACCAGCCUUCCAUCCUUUGUAUUCCUCCCUAUCUCCCGAGACUGCAAGUCACCGAUUUUAUUUCUGUAGUAGAAAGGUGCACAGGCUCUACCAGCAUGCACAGACAUGGAAUUUUCUGGAGCUUUUUUUAAAAAAAGCAGCUUCUCUCAGCUUCUGACCUCCCCCCCGCGAUUUCCUGCUGUGUCUUACACAAAAGCCGCUGUUUUCUCUGCCUCCCCACUCUCUGCCACUGCCUGGCUUCGAGUUGCAUGGCUCCUGUGCUGCUCCUGCCCCCUCAGCAGUGCAGCCCUCUGCAGCUGGCACCGCUUUCCACCAUGAUAAA